rnacentral:lncRNA from 1 species
GCCUGUUCUGUUUCUUUACAAUAUAACUCUUUGAAGACCAGUUUGAAUUUCUGAGGUCCUGGGGCUGUGAGCAUGUGGACAGCAACUUGCUGGUUUCUAUUUUUAAAAUCAAUAUUAUCCCAAUUUAUGAAUGUUUAAAAAAAUAAAUUUCUAAGUGUGACCUGAAUUACUUCCUUGGAAGAAUCUGCAUUCUUGUAAAAUCCUGCAGUGAGUCACCAAAGUGCCUUGGAAAAUAUUAUGGUCUUCUGAAAAGCUGUUUGGUAGCUGCAGGAAAGUAAGAGGGCUUCUUCCAUCCACCUCUGAUGAGGUAUGUUGUCACCAUGUCAAUUCUAUGGUUGUUAUACUACGUCUAUGUCCUAGGGACUCUGCAGGGCUUGUCAUAACUCCAGACUUACUCUGGAAAGCAAAGUACAAAUUUCAUUCUUUUUAGGACUGCAAAUAUCUGAGGAUUCCAUUUUCCAUCCUGUCUGAAAACUAGACCCUGGAGAAGAGAGCAAGUUAGAGGUCCCUUAUCAAGGCUCUAACAGUAUCUGAGUUUUAUUCUUCCCUUCAAACAGUCCCUUCUCUUUCAACAUGGGAACAUUUACCUCUUUUUUUGGGGUUAGUUCAGCUUUCUAUCUACUCUAUUUUCAAUCUUUUUUUUUUUCUUUCAGGUCUUAGCCUUUUGAAACUAAAAAAAAAAAAAAAAAAAAAAAAAAGAAAAAAACCUAGAUUCUUAUAAUCAAAGCUUUCCCUCUCAAAGCUGUCUUUCCUGAAUUUCAAAGAUUAUUUCUGAAUCCAAAAUCAAAUAACUUGACUUCUUACUUUUCUCUGGCUUUCUGUGAGGCUUCUUUCUUUCUCUUUGGCAAUGCACACUGCUGAGUCACUGGAGUUGUCUGUGAUAACCAUGAUCACUGUGUUGCACUUGUGUGAUUCAGAAAAAGGCCCCAUUUCUGGAUGGAAGCAAUAGAAACCACACAUUAUCUGGGUGGAUUUGUCCUCUGGAUACAAUGCUUGGCAGUGGCAUAGUGCCCUUUAGCUGAAAAAAAAGCUUCCAUUUCUUUCAGUCAAUGCAGCUCCAUGACAGGAUUCAUGGCUUGGUUAAGUAUAAACCAAAUUUUGGUUCUCCAGAGCCCUGAGAUGGAUGUCCUUGUGUAGGGUCC